rnacentral:rRNA from 1 species
UACGAAGGGUGCAAGCGUUACUCGGAAUUACUGGGCGUAAAGCGUGCGUAGGUGGUUGUUUAAGUCUGUUGUGAAAGCCCUGGGCUCAACCUGGGAAUUGCAGUGGAUACUGGGCGACUAGAGUGUUGUAGAGGGUAGUGGAAUUCCCGGUGUAGCAGUGAAAUGCGUAGAGAUCGGGAGGAACAUCCAUGGCGAAGGCAGCUACCUGGACCAACACUGACACUGAGGCACGAAAGCGUGGGGAGCAAACAGG